rnacentral:rRNA from 1 species
GAUGAACGCUGGCGGCGUGCCUAAUACAUGCAAGUCGAGCGAACAGACGAGGAGCUUGCUCCUCUGACGUUAGCGGCGGACGGGUGAGUAACACGUGGAUAACCUACCUAUAAGACUGGGAUAACUUCGGGAAACCGGAGCUAAUACCGGAUAAUAUAUUGAACCGCAUGGUUCAAUAGUGAAAGACGGUUUUGCUGUCACUUAUAGAUGGAUUCGCGCCGCAUUAGCUAGUUGGUAAGGUAACGGCUUACCAAGGCAACGAGGCGUAGCCGACCUGAGAGGGUGAUCGGCCACACUGGAACUGAGACACGGUCCAGACUCCUACGGGAGGCAGCAGUAGGGAAUCUUGCGCAAUGGGCGAAAGCCUGACGGAGCAACGCCGCGUGAGUGAUGAAGGUCUUCGGAUCGUAAAACUCUGUUAUUAGGGAAGAACAGAUGUGUAAGUAACUAUGCACGUCUUGAGGGUACCUAAUCAGAAAGCCACGGCUAACUACGUG